rnacentral:rRNA from 1 species
CAGAACGUCGUGAGACAGUUCGGUCCCUAUCCGUCGCAGGCGUAGGAAAUUUGAGAAGACCUGUCCUUAGUACGAGAGGACCGGGAUGGACGUACCUCUGGUGUACCAGUUGUUCUGCCAAGGGCAUGGCUGGGUAGCUAUGUACGGAAUGGAUAAGCGCUGAAAGCAUCUAAGCGCGAAGCCAACUUCAAGAUAAGAUUUCCCACCGCAAGGGUAAGACCCCAGAAAGACUAUCUGGUUGAUAGGUCGAAGGUGUAAGUGCAGCAAUGUAUUUAGCUUAUCGAUACUAAUAGGUCGAGGACUUGACCAA